rnacentral:tRNA from 1 species
AAUCUUAUAGUCAAUAAUGAUAUUAGACUGCAAUUCUAAAGGUAGUAAUUAAUUACUAAGGUUU